AUUGAACGCUGGCGGCAGGCUUAACACAUGCAAGUCGAACGAGUGGCGGACGGGUGAGUAACGUCUGGGAAACUGCUCGAUGGAGGGGGAUAACUACUGGAAAUGGUAGCUAAUACCGCAUACCAUCGGAUGUGCCCAGAUGGGAUUAGCUAGUAGGUGGGGUAACGGCUCAGCUAGGCGACGAUCGCUAGCUGGUGUGAGAGGAUGACCGGCCACACUGGAACGGGGACAGGGUCAAGACUCCUGCGGGAGGCAGCAGAGGGGAAUGGGGCACAGUGGGGGCGAGCCUGAUGCAGCCAGGCCGCGUGUAUGAAAAAGGCCUUCGGGGUGUAAAGUACUUUCAGCGGGGGGGCGUUACCCGCAGAAGAAGCACCGGCUAACUCCGUGCCAGCAGCCGCGGUAAUAC
rnacentral:rRNA from 1 species